GAUAAUCGUCACUGCGACGGCUGCCGCAAGGCAUUAAUAGGGAAUAUGGUGAGGCAAUUGCCAAGACCAUAGCUGUGCCCGCAACUGUGAACGCGGAGUCCGAUGUCAUGAGGCCACUGGGUAACCGGGAAGGCGACGCCGGGCGAUGAUGCGUGAGCCAGGAGACCUGCCGCGCCCGGGACGCACAC
rnacentral:ncRNA from 2 species